rnacentral:lncRNA from 1 species
UUUUUUUUUUUUUUCUGCAAGCCUCAGCUCUUCUUAGGGUUUUGUCUCCCAACACCCUUCAUACAGAAGCAAUGUCAGUUUGCAUUUGUGGGCUCAUGCAGCCCAGAAUGGCACAACUGCAGAAAUGACUCAAUUAGAGAGAGAGAGAGUCUUAUGUGUCGCAAAGUUUGCAGUGGGCUCAUCUGUGUCAAGGAAAAACAUGUUAGGGCAGGUUUUUGUUUUUUUGUUUUUUUAAAUCAAUUAUACAUUUCAAGAGACUGCCUGGAACUGGAAAAAUGGUUCUGCUCUUGCAGGAGACCCAAGUUUGCUUCGCAGCGCUCCAAGCAGACUUCUGGUCCCUGAGGGCACCUGUUUGUAUGCAGUACACAUUAGCUCACAUAGGCACACAAACACACCCAUUAAAUAAAUAAAUAAAUAAAUAAAUAAAUAAAUAAAUAAAUAUUUAAAGCUCUUAAAGGAGUAGAAGCCUAAGUUUUUUAACUAUAUACGUAUAUUUUUAAAAUUACAACCCAGACUCUACAUGUGCCCCACCCACCCACCGCCCCAUGCUCUUUACAGCAGAUGCAGGCAGAGUUUGCCUUGACCCAGACUCCAGGCCCCAUGUUUAGUCCCAGUUGGAACUUUGCAGAAUGCUCAGUGGCAGUGUCCUCGAUGCACACAACAUAGGGAGUGACCUGGCCUGGUAGACAGGCCUGAUGUGGUCUAUAGUACAGUACAGUACAGUACAGUACAGUACAGUACUGUGCUGUCCCUGAUGUGAGCACAGAAUUUUCAAAUCCAAUUUUUAGUGGAUGCUAACAGAAUGCCUUCAUAUUCAACCAGAAGGGAGCCUUUGGGGAUAUCAAGUUGGUGUGAUAUCACAUGACCAGCAAGAAUGAUCUUAGGAAAACUGAAAAUCAGAUUGGAUGGUUCCUUAUUGCUAGUUCAAGACCACCCAGUGCUGUUGUCCCUUGCUACACUGUGAGCCCAAGGCUCCCGAAAUCUCUAUAGAACCAUGUGAUCCAACUCCUGCUUUCUCUCCAAGCCUGCUGUAGCCUCUCUGUCUUGCCCCAUGUGCCCCUCCCUCUGCAGACUUAAACAAGUCUCUGUUCCUUAAACAAGCUGAGCCCAUCCCUAUCUCAGGCUUUUGUAAGCUGGGGAUGGAUUUCUCCCUCAGGUUUCUGGGGCUGCUUUCCUCACUGCACAGCUUGUACCCAUGGGCUUACACAUGCAUUCCCUAAACGAGAGCUUUUCCUUAAAACAUCCCCUCUAUCACUAUGUUCCAAGACCCCAUGUGUCUUCAUGACUGUAAGCAAUGCUCAGAUCCUGACUUCAAUUUUACCCGUCUCUCCUAUUGAAUAGAAAAUUUUAAGAGAGGCCCAUGAUCAUUCUGUCCAGCUCACAUCGGCAUCACCAACAGGCAGAGGGACAAACAUUUCUAGAUCAAGUGGGCGUGGUCAACAGGGGACAAGCUAGCAUGGCUGAAACAGGGGACAUUGGCCUUGCACUGCUCUCUAUGCACACCUGUGUUACACAUGCAUGUGUGCACAUUCCUGUCAAAAAGAAUGCUUGCCCAGGAACUCAUCUGUUAGAUCAGGAAGACAUUGUUAGCUGGGUUGGGAAGUUUUUGUUUUAAACUCAGAUCAGUGAGGAGAACUUCUAAACCCACAGCAUAGAAAUUCACAUUUAAGGCAUAGGUAGAUUGAUGCCAGUGUUCAAAUAUUCCCCAUAAUCUGUUCACUCGGGCAAGCUACUCACCUUGCUGAGCUGUGCCUCCGUUUUUCAAUGAAUGGAAAAAGAAAUCUCCCUUGUAGUAUCUCCCUUGUAGGAUUCUUUUUUUUUUUAAAUCAAUAGAAAAUCUUUAUUAUUCAGUUGGAGACUAUACUGGGUGUUCGUGAUCCCAAUGUAGCCCUGGGACUUUCUCAGGGUGAUUUUUCUUUUUUUUUUAUUAGGUAAUUUCCUCGUUUACAUUUUCAAUGCUAUCCCAAAGGUCCCCCAUACCCACCCCCCCAAUCCCCUACCCACCCACUCCCCCUUUUUGGCCCUGGUGUUCCCCUGUACUGUGGCAUAUAAAGUUUGCAAGUCCAAUGGGCCUCUCUUUGCAGUGACGGCCGACUAGGCCAUCUUUUGAUACAUAUGCAGCUAAAGACAAGAAUGUUCAACAUCCUUGUAGGAUUCUUAAGAGGAACAUUAUAGAGCAGAGUAGUUUUCACAGUGCCUGGGAAGAAUAGAGGGAUUAGUUGACUUCACCAUGGGUGCAAUUACUGUCCUUAUUCCUAGUCCCAAAUCAAAGCAGAAAUCAAUCAAUGAGAUGGCUCAUUGAGUCAACAAGCUUGCACGGAGCCCAGUGGUCCGAGUUCAGUCACCUGGAUCCACCUAGUGGAAGGUAAGAACCAACUCCUUUAUGUUUUCCUCUGGUCUCCUCCACACAUACACUCUAGAAGCCCAUCUACACACAGAGAAUGCAUUAUGUGUCAAUGUAAAUAUAUUAAUAUUAAUAAUAACUAAGUAGGAUGGAGGAUUUCUGAGGUGACUUGCUGCUGACGGAUCUGAGUGGUCAGGGAUGGAUUAAUGUAAUAAAUAGGAGGGGAGAGUAAAGAAGGCAAGUAGCUCUUAGAACCUGUCUUCAUCAACAUCUUGCAGAUACUGACAGGGCCCUUCUUACUGAGCAUAGUCCUGUCCUCGCUUCCUCCUAGGAAUGCCUAGAUGACACUUCACUCUGAUGGCAACGUUUACUGAAAGGAUAACAAAUCAUAUAAGAGAGAGGUGGUAGAAGACACUCAAUGAAGCAGAGACUUGCUCACCUAAGCAUGCCCUGCUUCCUUCCCAGGUUGUUUUCUGACAAACCACACAGAGCUAGGAGUUCUGUCUCUUUCCCCAACAGUGAUCACACAUGAUAGUGCACAACCUCAUCAGACACAGCUGUGUGCUUGACAACCUCACCCUUGUUCUUCUGGCAUACUGACAGACAGGUGUGUCCCAGGAUCCUUCAGUGUAGGGUGUGUCACAUGCCCAUGCUCAGGCCAAUGAAUGGCAGGGUCGUGACACAGAGAUCUUUCUGGUCUGAUGCAGGAGAAUCAUAUGUAUUUCUUGGUGAUUUUUCCUCCCAUCUGUUAGAUGAACUGCAAUGACUUCAGUGACCAGGAGAAUAACAUAAUGUGGAAGGAGACUGCCUCUCCCAAGUCUUCCACUGGAGGAGAUUCUAGGAGUUUUGAAGAAGCCCCCAUAUUUGAAGGCCAAAGGAACAAGAAAUAAGUUUUGCUUAUUAGAAAUACAUUUUUGUCUAUUACAGCAACUACACUACCCCAACUAAAUACUCUAGCCUUGGUAAAGUAUUGUCCAAAAGCUCCAUCACAAUAUCUUAGCCAUAUAAAUAUUUUAAAAGAUGGUGGGCAGCAUUGAAAAGAUAAAUGAAAUAUACAUAAACUCUUACUUCUGGAAGGGCUACUGAAGCCAUGAGUGUUAAGUCUAACACAACAGCAGAUAACCACCCAUGCUUAGACUCACCAGUAUACGAGGAAGGCAGCAGUUUUGGUUCCCUAAUACACAGGCUUUGCUCUGCCUGUAUAAGAUAUGAUGUGUCUAGAGAGAACCAUACUGUGGCAAAUGUAGACAGUAACAAAGAGAAAUGAAGGGGGGGAGCAUUUUAAAGGAAUCACCUAAACACCAACAAUUAAAGUUAGAAAAUUGUUCUCAGAAAGGGAGAGGAGGUACAGAACAGGAGAAGGAAAUCUCUUCAAUAUCUUAGGAUAGAGUUAAAGGAGACUAUGAAAGAAGAUUUACAAUUACAGUUUUUAAGGUACCCAAAUAAGCCUUAGGGAUUCCACUGCCUCACAUUUAACUGUACAGUUAAGAAAUUUCAAUCAAGAUACUAAUUAGGAAUUUUUUAAUGACAUGUUAAAUUCAAAGAUCAUUGGGAUAAAUUAAUAAGCAGAAGAACCUAUAAAAAUCUAUCUGAUGGAGGAAUUUUUUAAUAAAGAACUCCAGUUGAUAGGUGCAACGGUGAGGUUACUGACUCUUCUAUCUGCUAUUCGAAUGCAAUCAUUAAAGAGAUUGUAACAUGGGUGAAAUAAGUGAAUUCAGGAAUGAAACAGACUACAGAGCCCCAAAUAAAAUAAGAUACACAGGAGAAUACGUAGUGUAUCAUACAAGUAAUAUUUCCAAUUAAGAUAAAACAGAUGACUGAGAUAACUGGAUAUCUACAUUUUUGCUAGUUACCUACGUACAUUUUAUUUUAAAAUUACAUGAAAUAUUUAAAAUUUUGGAAUAAGAUCUUGAGAGUCAUAUGCCAAAUGCUACAGGAAAAUAUUAAUAAAUUUGGUUACUGUCAUGGCGAGUUUUAAUUGUCAGGUCAAUACAACUUAGAACCAUCAGGGAAGAACAUCUCAAGGAAGGACUGACUAGAUUAGGUUGGCCUGUCGGCACAUCCAUCGUGGGCUGUGUUCAUUUCGUUGAAUGAUAUGGGAAGAUUCUGCCCCAAAGAAGCUGUACCAUUCCCUGGGUUUGAUCCUAUUCUGCAUCAUCA